AGCGGCCAGAGCCCAAGAUGGUAAUCUCCGCCUUUCAGGCGGCGAAUUGUAAUCUUGAGAUGCUAAACUCAAUUGGUGGUGUCGUAGAAGUGCCCUGGAACGGGCCGCCAAAGAGGGUGACAGCCCCGUACGUGACGACGCCGCCUAACGAGUUGGUAUUCAAAGAGUCGGGUUGUUUUGUAUUGCAGCCCUAAGCGGGAGAUAAACUUCUUCUAAGGCUAAAUAUAUGUGGGAAACCGAUAGCGAACAAGUACUGUGAAGGAAAGAUGAAAAGCACUUUGGAAAGAGAGUCAAAAGACCUGAAACCGUUGAGGAGGAAGCGGUAGAGAUGUAUUCUACGGCGAUGCGCGGGGAAGACGAUCUAGGCACGGCGGAGGUAUGUCACGUCAAAGGGCUGCUUUUGUCUCAAGCGGAAAUCGUUCACUUGUGCGGCGUUGUGAGGCAGGAUGGAGUGACGGGAUCACAAAGGCCUAGUGGAUCUGGGAGCCCUCGGGUUUCAAUCCUCUGGUGCCGGUGGCCUCGUGGCUUGAGGGUGCUUUGUGCGAUCCUGUCAAAAUGGUCUUUACCGACUCGUCUUGAAACACGAACCAAGGAGUCUAACGUACACGCGAGUAUGCCAGUGGAAAAACUGACAUGCGCAAUGAAGGUGAGUGAUGCCAAGCGCAAGCAGCAGCAUCGACCGACCAUGAUUCUUAAUGAAAGGUUUGAGUACGAGCGUGUCCGCUAGGACCCGAAAGAUGGUGAACUAUGCCUGCG
rnacentral:rRNA from 1 species